CGUAAACAAAGGGAAGCAGCCCUGUGAAGGUGAGCAAAUCCCAAAAAUAACGUCCCAGUUCGGAUUGUAGUCUGCAACCCGACUACAUGAAGCUGGAAUCGCUAGUAAUCGCGGAUCAGAAUGCCGCGGUGAAUACGUUCCCGGGUCUUGUACACACCGCCCGUCACACCAUGGGAGUCGGAAAUGCCCGAAGCCGGUGACUCAACCUUUAAGGAGAGAGCCGUCGAAGGCAGGUCUGAUAACUGGGGUGAAGUCGUAACAAGGUACC
rnacentral:rRNA from 1 species